GGGGAGGCUAGGGAUAGAAAGCUGGUAAUUAAUAAUAGGCUCUUUUCACCAAGGGAUUGGGUUAAGGGUAGACCAAGAAAGUUUGCAUGCAAUUAGAUAAAUAAGUGAAGUAAAUAAGAAGAGUAGAUAUAUGAGAGUGUAUAAGAUGAAAUUGUAAACCCCAACAACACCAUNCAUCCAUAGUUUCUCAAAACCAAUUGAAUCAAUUGCAUUGCAUGUUUAAUUUUUUGUUCUUUGCAUACAAACCACUAAAUUUAUUCCUUUCUCAAAUCUUAUACAAU
rnacentral:lncRNA from 1 species